GAUGAACGCUGGCGGCGUGCCUAAUACAUGCAAGUCGAGCGAACAGAUGAGGAGCUUGCUCCUCUGACGUUAGCGGCGGACGGGUGAGUAACACGUGGAUAACCUACCUAUAAGACUGGGAUAACUUCGGGAAACCGGAGCUAAUACCGGAUAAUAUAUUGAACCGCAUGGUUCAAUAGUGAAAGACGGUUUUGCUGUCACUUAUAGAUGGAUCCGCGCCGCAUUAGCUAGUUGGUAAGGUAACGGCUUACCAAGGCAACGAUGCGUAGCCGACCUGAGAGGGUGAUCGGCCACACUGGAACUGAGACACGGUCAAGACUCCUACGGGAGGCAGCAGUAGGGAAUCUUCCGCAAUGGGCGAAAGCAUGACGGAGCAACGCCGCGUGAGUGAUGAAGGUCUUCGGAUCGUAAAACUCUGUUAUUAGGGAAGAACAAAUGUGUAAGUAACUAUGCACGUCUUGACGGUACCUAAUCAGAAAGCCACGGCUAACUACGUG
rnacentral:rRNA from 1 species